rnacentral:rRNA from 1 species
GAUGAACGCUAGCGACAGGCUUAACACAUGCAAGUCGAGGGGCAGCACAGGUAGCAAUACCGGGUGGCGACCGGCGCACGGGUGAGUAACGCGUAUGCAACUUACCUAUCAGAGGGGGAUAACCCGGCGAAAGUCGGACUAAUACCGCAUGAAGCAGGGGCCCCGCAUGGGGAUAUUUGCUAAAGAUUCAUCGCUGAUAGAUAGGCAUGCGUUCCAUUAGGCAGUUGGCGGGGUAACGGCCCACCAAACCGACGAUGGAUAGGGGUUCUGAGAGGAAGGUCCCCCACAUUGGUACUGAGACACGGACCAAACUCCUACGGGAGGCAGCAGUGAGGAAUAUUGGUCAAUGGGCGUAAGCCUGAACCAGCCAAGUCGCGUGAGGGAUGAAGGUUCUAUGGAUCGUAAACCUCUUUUAUAAGGGAAUAAAGUGCGGGACGUGUCCCGUUUUGUAUGUACCUUAUGAAUAAGGAUCGGCUAACUCCGUGCCAGCAGCCGCGGUAAUACGGAGGAUCCGAGCGUUAUCCGGAUUUAUUGGGUUUAAAGGGUGCGUANGCGGCCUUUUAAGUCAGCGGUGAAAGUCUGUGGCUCAACCAUAGAAUUGCCGUUGAAACUGGGAGGCUUGAG